GCCAGGUGUGGUAGCACACACCUGUAAUCUCAGCCACCUGGGAGGCUGAGGCAGGAGGAUGACAAGUUCAAGGCCAGUCUGGGCAACUUAGCAAGACCCUGCCUCAA
rnacentral:sRNA from 1 species